CACGUAGGGGGCGAGCGUUGUCCGGAUUUAUUGGGCGUAAAGAGCUCGUAGGCGGCUCAGUAAGUCGGGUGUGAAAACUCCAGGCUCAACCUGGAGACGCCACCCGAUACUGCUGUGGCUAGAGUCCGGUAGGGGAGCAUGGAAUUCCUGGUGUAGCGGUGAAAUGCGCAGAUAUCAGGAGGAACACCGGUGGCGAAGGCGGUUCUCUGGGCAUUACCUGACGCUGAGGAGCGAAAGCAUGGGGAGCGAACAGG
rnacentral:rRNA from 1 species